ACCUAGUUAGACAACUAGCAAGCUGUGUUUGCUCCCAAUCUGUGGUGGUUUCAAAUAUGUCUACAAAUUCUUGGACACAUCCCCAUUAAGAGGUGGCAUCUGUGUCCCACCCUUGGAAUCCAGCCUGGCCUUAGUGACUAUUACAACAUAUGGAAUACAGAGAGGGAUGACACUGCCAGACUUCCGAGGUUAGGUCACAAAAGGCAGUGCAACGUGCACCUGCUUCUACAGGAACACUCACUGUCUUGAUGCCCUUCUGGGAUGUCCCCUUUUGAGAAUCAGCUUCUAUGUUGUGAGAAGCUCAGGCCACAUUGAAAGGCUAUGUGUAGGUUGUCAGUCCCAGCUGAGCUCAGCCUUUGAGUCAUCCCAGCCCAGACACCUGACAUGUCAGCGAAGGAGCCUCCAGAUGACUCCAGUCCCCAUGACAUCACCUUCAGCCUUAGUGACUUUUGAGAUGCUGAGAACCAGAGACAAGCCAUCCUCACUGCACCCCGCCUGAAUCCCCAACCCACAGAAUCUGUGAGUUUAAUACAAUAGCUGUUUUAAGCAACAAGGAUUUGUUACGAAGUGAUUGUAACUGGAACACAUCCUGCCUCCAGAAAAGAGGCAAUUGCUCCCAAAUGUUUCCAUCCCACUCUAGGUCUGCCUCUGCACUUUCUGCAAUGUCUAUUACCUAGGAAAUGAUGGCCCUCCAUAAAUAUUUCUUCAAUGAAUGGGCUAUAUCCAGGAUUCACAUUUUGUUCUGCUUACUCGCUAAUGUGCCCAUCUUCUCUGCUAGACUGCAAAUGCUAAGGCAGGAACUGUUUCUAAUGGCACAUAGUGGGCUGUCAAUAAAACCGAGAAGUUGAGCUGAAUUUACAAUGGAUGACAGGGAUAGAUUUAGCUACUUGCUGUUAACACUGACUGCAAAAAAGUUACGUUUUAUUUUUAGAGGAAAGCAAAUAGGUUGUUCAAGUAAUUUAAACCCAUGGGAAAAAGCAAAUUGGGACAAAGGCAUGCCAAUCACAAUUCAGUAACCUACACAGCCUGGCCUUAUAGCCCAGACUAUAUCAUCUUCUGGACCUCACCAACAGGCCCUGCCUGGGCACACUUACUCUUGGAGGUGUCUGGCCCUGGAGAAGAUUGAAAGAUGUGUUUGGUGACCUGAGCUCACUUUCCUUUGGCCUUCAAGUCAACAAGUACUCCCAAGCACGUCACCUUCAGUCUUCAUGCACCAGAGAAUCAAGUUGCUAACAAGGUGCUGCAGAGAGGAAAGCCAUGUUGGAAAUCCCAGGCUGGCAGAAACCUGGAGAGCAGCUCUUUUCCUAGGACUUCAUUUCCAUGGCCAGAAGGAGAGCAGCCUUUCCUAAAUCGCACCUGCCUCAAAGUUGGCCCAUUUCUCUAUUGCCUUGAUCUCAAUUAAAAAAAAAAAAUUACAACGAUGUCCUUUAAAGAAUGCCACUAAUAGCCUCUUGGCCUUCUACAGGAUAAAGCAGCCAAUUCGUUGGUCUGUCUCUAUAGAAAUCAUUUCUCUACUGUGUGGAGAAAAUAAAAUCCAAGAUGAAGAUGGUUAUGUAAGAGGUAUCUAAGUGGGAUCUAGGGGGCAUAAGGAGUUGGAUCCCAGUCAUGUGCACACUUAGAUGCAAUCUGACCUGUUGAACUGGGCCAAAUUGUAAAACCAGCUGCACUGGACUUGAAUUGUUUAUACUGGGCCUGAUCACCAACCUCCUGGAAAGACAGCUAGGCCAAACAAGACUGAAAGACAUCCUAAGCUGUUAACCAGCCAUCAUCAAUCGUGGACUAUAUGAAAAUCUUCCAGAAUGUUACACAACUCAGAAUCACCAAGAAGUAAAACCAAAACUGAACUUGGAGUAAGGGCAGACAUUGUCUGAGUAUCCUCGACAUUAUAUCUCUGGCUUUGACACAGGGACGUGACCAGUGUGAUUUGGCAAGGUGUGUUGAGUUGGUAUCAAUUCCCGGGCCACCAAGGAUGGAAGCACUUUGCACAGAAUCAGGCUUGUUUUGCCUUCCAGGAUGCCAGACACUGCGGCCUGCCCCUCAGUUUCCUGUACAGAGCUCAGCUCCUCGAGGAUUGCAAACCCCGAGGACAGCUGAUGAUCUCAUUCUUGGUGUGGAGAACAUCCUUGCUGUUCUCAUUAUGGAAGCAACCUCACCAGCAGGUGGCUCUGACAUCUACGAUUAAACUACUGAAUCAGGAAAAAAGGAAGCAGGACAGAGAAAGGCAAUGACUGGAAAGUUUUACUUCGGGACAACAUCUCUGAAUUAUUCACAUAUAAUGGAAAUGAAUCAUUCUGACUCAUUAAUCAAUGAUGAAAUGAACGACAAGCAACAGAGGAUGACCUGAAACAUUUAUAUUUGGUUUAUAUCAUGUUAGAACGUCUAAUUUAACAGAGAUGUCUCAUGCCCUGGAAGUUCAUACUGCUGCUGGGAAAUCACAGAGCUACGUUGGGAGCAUGUAACAUCCUCUUUUCCAACUCUUCUCACUGAGCAUCUCCCUGGAGGAGGCCAAAGUCAUCUCUCAGACUAAGCUCAGAACUCAGUGAAGCUGUAGUGACAUUGGCAACAACUAUAGCAUCAUACGCAUGGCCUGAAUGAGAGCUGUGAUUGUUAGUGAUGUCCGGGUAUGUAUCUGCCAUCUCAGAGUGACCCUGAGAAAGGCAUUCAUUUGGAAGCUUUUCUCCCCACGCUGUAUUCUAAGUGACCCAUUGCCCAGUGAACAUUAUGAAGUCCUGGAGGCUGCCAGUCUCCUCACUGUGACUGGAGUCAUGGCUCCAAGCUCUGCUGGCUUCAUGCACCUGGGGAGAGUGACCAGCAGCACUGCCCAGAGUCCCGUGCUGGCCCUGCUAGAACAAAGACCUUGCAGGAUACGCAGUCAUCAUGACAUGCUGAUUGCAGAUUAUGUGCUAUUUGCACAUUUAGUUUUCUCUUUCAUGUAGGGAUGCCCAGGAUGGUCAGGACAUUUCCGAUGCUCCACCUCCAUCCCUCAGUGCUCUCUAGUCUGUGCCUGUAAACAGUGUUAUUCAACAAAACUGGGGUUCACUAACCCAGUGCAGUUAAAUCCAAACAUCCACAGUGAGGUUUGCAAUGGGAGAAAGGAGAGCGUUUAUUUGCAAGGCACCAAGCAAGGAGAAUUAGGCAGCUCCCAUUUAAGAUCUGACCUCCCCUGUGACUUGGAAGUAAGGGUAUUUGAAGGCAGAGGUAAAUUUCAGGAAAGCGGAAGUUACAGGCAAAGUCAUAAAUCAAUACAUGGAGGUUGUGCUUCAGUUUGACCUAAAGAGGUGAGAUAUCUUGAAGUGGGAGCUUAUAGGUCAUAGGUAGAUUCAAAGAUUUUUUGAUUUUCAAUUGAUUAAGGAGGCAAAGCUUUGUCUAGACAUGUGAGGUCAGCAGAAAAGAAUGUAAGCUCUGGCCUGUGGUGUGACCUCCUCCAGGUCCCUCAGGAAGAAAUUUAGAACAAAGAGCAGUGGUUUGAGUUCAGUCCUCCGUUCCCCUCAGGGUCUGCAGGCCAGCAGAUCCAUUUGAUGGGGGUCUGGGUUUCUGAAAAACACCUGGGAACAUAUGUUAAGAUGUUAUCUUUAGCUUCUAUAGGGAACAAAACAUCUCAUGACUCUAACCUCCCUGGUUAUUGUUUUAAGCUACUAUUUCCUUCUUGCUUAUCAAGUUGCUCAUGUUCUUUUCCCUUGAAGGAACAUGAGAUUUUCCUUUAUUUCUGUGCUUAGAGGGAUCUUGCAGGCCCCUACCAGGGGUCCCUACUCUGCUCAACAUCUUCCUACUUUCUAUGACAAGCCUCUUGGACUCCCUUUCUGAGGCCUCUCUGUGGUGUUAGGAGCAGGCUUGGCCUAUUGGCAGGGCAGGGUGGAACAUGUGGAGGAGCUGGUGCCCCAGGAGGAGCCCACAGCCAGUGGAUACCCCAGCUUCCUCCGCCCUGAGAGGAGGCAUCUCUAAUGUGUGUCCCACACCAUCUCCCAGAGUGUGCCAGUAGUUUUAAGCCCCAUUUGCCCAUGUCUGUAACCUGCUCAUUUACUCAUCCAUCCUUCAAUGCUACCAGGCUGGAUGAACUGGGAGAGAUCAUGGAAUAAAUAUUGAAACUUCA